rnacentral:rRNA from 1 species
GAUGAACGCUAGCUACAGGCUUAACACAUGCAAGUCGAGGGACCGGCGCACGGGUGAGUGACACGUAUCCAAACUGCCCUUUACUCGGGGAUAGCCUUUCGAAAGAAAGAUUAAUACCCGACAUAAAGGAUGGGGAUGCGUUCCUUUAGGUUGUGGGUGAGGUAACGGCCCACCAAGCCUUCGAUGGAUAGGGGUGCGGAGAGGAAGGUCACCAAGAGUGGAACUGAGACACGGUCCAAACUCCUACGAGCUGAAGAAGUUAGGAGUAUUGGUCAAUGGGCGUUAGCCUGAACUCGCCAGGUAGCGUGAAGGAUGAAGGCUUAUGAGCCGUAAACUGCUUGUAGAUAAGGAUAUGUAUUAUAUGAAUAAGCAUCGGCUAACUCCGUGCCAGCAGCCGCGGUAAUAC